UCUCCGUAGGUGAACCUGCGGAAGGAUCAUUAAAGAGUAAGGGUCUUCGGGCCCGAUCUCCAACCCUUUGUUUAACUACCAUGUUGCUUUGGCGGGCCCGUCUCACGACCGCCAGAAGUUUGGCUUCGACCAAACUUCUGGCCCGUGCCCGUCAGUGGCCCCUUCAAAUUCUUGAUCAAGUAUGAUGCCUUAGUUAAAAACUUAAUAGUUAAAACUUUCAACAACGGAUCUCUUGGUUCUG
rnacentral:misc_RNA from 1 species